ACGCAACGCGAAGAACUUACCAGGCCUUGACAUCCCUCGACAGCCUCAGAGAUGAGGUGUUCUGGUUUCCAGACAGGGAGACAGGUGUUUGCAUGGUUGUCGUCAGCUCGUGUCGUGAGAUGUUGGGUUAAGUCCCGCAACGAGCGCAACCCCCGUUCUGUGUUGCCAGCGUAAAGUCGGGCACUCACAGGAGACUGCCGGAGACAAUUCGGAGGAAGGUGGGGAUGACGUCAAAUCCUCAUGGCCCUUAUGACCUGGGCUACACACGCGCUACAAUGGCCUGUACAGAGGGAAGCGAAAGAGCGAUCUGGAGCGAAUCUCACAAAACAGGUCUCAGUUCGGAUUGCAGGCUGAAACCCGCCUGCAUGAAGCCGGAAUUGCUAGUAAUCGCAGAUCAGCUACGCUGCGGUGAAUACGUUCUCGGGCCUU
rnacentral:rRNA from 2 species